rnacentral:rRNA from 1 species
UAGCAGAGGUCUCAAGCGUUGUUCGGAUUCAUUGGGCGUAAAGGGUGCGUAGGCGGCGCGGUAAGUCGGAUGUGAAAUCUCGGAGCUUAACUUCGAAACUGCAUUCGAUACUGCCGUGCUUGAGGACUGGAGAGGAGACUGGAAUUUACGGUGUAGCGGUGAAAUGCGUAGAUAUCGUAAGGAAGACCAGUGGCGAAGGCGGGUCUCUGGACAGUUCCUGACGCUGAGGCACGAAGGCCAGGGGAGCAAACAGG